rnacentral:rRNA from 1 species
UACGGGGGGGGCAAGCGUUGUUCGGAAUUACUGGGCGUAAAGGGUUCGUAGGUGGCCUGCUAAGUCGGACGUGAAAUCCCUCGGCUCAACCGGGGAACUGCGUCCGAUACUGGUGGGCUUGAGUGCAGGAGAGGAACGCGGAAUUCCAGGUGUAGCGGUGAAAUGCGUAGAUAUCUGGAGGAACACCGGUGGCGAAGGCGGCGUUCUGGACUGCAACUGACACUGAGGAACGAAAGCCAGGGGAGCAAACGGG